rnacentral:rRNA from 1 species
AACGAACGCUGGCGGCAGGCUUAACACAUGCAAGUCGAACGCUCCCUUCGGGGAGAGUGGCAGACGGGUGAGUAACGCGUGGGAACCUACCUAGUGGUACGGAAUAGCUCAGGGAAACUUGGGGUAAUACCGUAUACGCCCUUAGGGGGAAAGAUUUAUCGCCAUUAGAUGGGCCCGCGUUGGAUUAGCUUGUUGGUAGGGUAACGGCCUACCAAGGCAACGAUCCAUAGCUGGUCUGAGAGGAUGAUCAGCCACACUGGGACUGAGACACGGCCCAGACUCCUACGGGAGGCAGCAGUGGGGAAUAUUGGACAAUGGGCGAAAGCCUGAUCCAGCCAUGCCGCGUGAGUGACGAAGGUCUUCGGAUUGUAAAACUCUUUUAGCAGGGACGAUAAUGACGGUACCUGCAGAAUAAGCCCCGGCUAACUUCG